rnacentral:misc_RNA from 1 species
GUUCUGAACUUUACUAUCUCAGAGAGAAUUGGCCAUGGCUGAGAGCGAGAGCCGCGAAGCUCUCCAACUACAACAAAACCAAAAACGGCACAGUAAGGAACAAAACGACAACAAUUUAGAACUAGAAGAAGGAGAAUUAGAAGACGACGGAGAAGAGGAAGAAGAAGAAGAAGACGAGGAAGAAGAAGAGAGUCAACUCAUUGAGUUAAAACAACUAGCUGAUUCCCAACUCGUCGAGUUAUCGACCUCUCGUUUGGAGGAGUUGAGAGAGUCGCAAUCGGAAGCCUCAGUGGCCGCACCUUCCACGGAUAUAGUAUCGGAGAACGUUCAGUGUGUAGGUUCGCGGGAUAAUUCAGCUUUGGAAACGCAUGUGGAAGCUGAAAUCAAGGGCAAAGAAGUUUUGGGAAGUGUAACAACCCAAGGUGUUGCAUCUCAGACCCAAAAUGAGCUUCAACCUUCUCAGUGCCCAGCUUCCUUGUCAGAACUUUCACCAACUUCUGUUACACAAUCGAUAUCAUCUGCUCCAAGUCCAACUCUACCAGAACCAAGAAUGUCACCAUCAAAGAUUAAUAAUGUAUCUACACAAGAAGCAGA